rnacentral:rRNA from 1 species
AACGAACGCUGGCGGCAGGCUCAACACAUGCAAGUCGAACGCCCCGCAAGGGGAGUGGCAGACGGGUGAGCAACGCGUGGGAAUCUACCCAGUUCUACGGAACAACACAGGGAAACUUGUGCUAAUACCGUAUACGCCCUACGGGGGAAAGAUUUAUCGGAAUUGGAUGAGCCCGCGUUGGAUUAGCUAGUUGGUGAGGUAACGGCUCACCAAGGCGACGAUCCAUAGCUGGUCUGAGAGGAUGAUCAGCCACACUGGGACUGAGACACGGCCCAGACUCCUACGGGAGGCAGCAGUGGGGAAUAUUGGACAAUGGGCGCAAGCCUGAUCCAGCCAUGCCGCGUGAGUGAUGAAGGCCUUAGGGUUGUAAAGCUCUUUCAGUGGGGAAGAUAAUGACGGUACCCACAGAAGAAGCCCCGGCUAACUUCGUGCCAGCCGCCGCCGUAAAAC